GACAGAGGUUGCAAACGUUGUUCGGAAUCACUGGGCAUAAAGCGCACGUAGGCGGUCUGUUAAGUCAGGUGUGAAAAGCCCCCCGGCUCAACCGGGGAACAGCAUCUGAUACUGGCAGACUCGAGGAUGGUAGGGGUGAGUGGAACUCCAGGUGGAGCGGUGAAAUGCGUAGAUAUCUGGAGGAACACCGGUGGCGAAAGCGGCUCACGUGGACCAUAACUGACGCUGAG
rnacentral:rRNA from 1 species